AACGAACGCUGGCGGCAUGCCUAACACAUGCAAGUCGAACGAGACCUUCGGGUCUAGUGGCGCACGGGUGCGUAACGCGUGGUAACCUGCCCUUAGGUUCGGAAUAACUCCCCGAAAGGGGUGCUAAUACCGGAUAAUUUCUUCGGACCAAAGAUUUAUCGCCUUUGGAUGGGCCCGCGUUGGAUUAGCUAGUUGGUAGGGUAAAAGCCUACCACGGCGACGAUCCAUAGCUGGUCUGAGAGGAUGAUCAGCCACACUGGGACUGAGACACGGCCCAGACGCCUACGGGAGGCAGCAGUGGGGAAUAUUGGACAAUGGGCGAAAGCCUGAUCCAGCAAUGCCGCGUGAGUGAUGAAGGCCUUAGGGUUGUAAAGCUCUUUUACCCGGGAUGAUAAUGACAGUACCGGGAGAAUAAGCUCCGGCUAACUCCGUG
rnacentral:rRNA from 1 species